UGGGGAAUCUUGGACAAUGGGGGCAACCCUGAUCCAGCCAUGCCGCGUGAGUGAUGAAGGCCUUAGGGUCGUAAAGCUCUUUCGCCUGUGAAGAUAAUGACGGUAGCAGGUAAAGAAACCCCGGCUAACUCCGUGCCAGCAGCCGCGGUAAUACGGAGGGGGUUAGCGUUGUUCGGAAUUACUGGGCGUAAAGCGCACGUAGGCGGACCAGAAAGUUGGGGGUGAAAUCCCGGGGGCUCAACCCCGGAACUGCCUCCAAAACUAUUGGUCUAGAGUUCGAGAGAGGUGAGUGGAAUUCCAAGUGUAGAGGUGAAAUUCGUAGAUAUUUGGAGGAACACCAGUGGCGAAGGCGGCUCACUGGCUCGAUACUGACGCUGAGGUGCGAAAGUGUGGGGAGCAAACAGGAUUAGAUACCCUGGUAGUCCACACCGUAAAACGAUGAAUGCCCAGUCGUCGGGUAGCAUGCUAUUCGGUGACACACC
rnacentral:rRNA from 1 species